rnacentral:lncRNA from 1 species
UGUCUUUUUCUUUCUCUCUCUAAAAAUCACCGGGCGUUGAAGACCUCCAGCAACGCUGGCUGCGUUACCUUGCAGCGGUAGAGAGAGUUUCUUUCGAUAAAGGACAUGAACGAAGAGUGAACCGUUGCUACCAUGUUUCCAGCAGCAGCGACGGGUGGCGACUGCAUUUGUCACGGUGACCUAGGGUUCUGACUUCGAUCAUAGGCGAAGGUUAUGAACUCUGAUGUUGAUGAACUUGUCUUAGAAAGGUAGAUUGGUGUCAUGCAAUCGAACUUAGGGUAGAUCGGCGAUGGUAACGGGUGAUCCUCAGUCUUCCGGCGUAUUAGUUAAAAGAAAGAGCUGAGAAGCUUGAAUAUCACAAACAAAGAGAGCAGAAAUUCACGGAGAAGAAGAAUGAGAAGAAGGAGCUACUGCGUCGCCAAAGCUCCGUAUGGAUUGAUGAAAAUGAACUCGAGAAAAAGAUAUUGAAUGCCAUUAUGGAUGAGUCCUAAGGUAACCAUGCUUUCAACUCGCAUUUUUUAAACUUUUUUUUCCGCUCUUGUUAGAACUCAAGAUGUAGACUUGAAGCACCCAUGCUGGUGUGAGGUCAAGAAACCUUUGAUUUUAUGGUUGUAAGUGCAAGCAUGCACACGGAAUAAGUCUAAAAAUGUGUUUCAUUGGUCUUUCACUUGUGGGCAUGAAUUGAAUUUUUUUAUAUCAUUACGGUCGGAUGGUUGGUUGU